CCUACGGGAGGCAGCAGUGAGGCAUAUUGGUCAAUGGACGCAGGGCUGAACCAGCCAAGUCGCGUGAGGGAUGACGGUCCUAUGGAUUGUAAACCUCUUUUGUCUGGGAGCAAAGGGCGCCACGUGUGGCGUUUUGCGAGUACCUGAAGAAAAAGCAUCGGCUAACUCCGUGCCAGCAGCCGCGGUAAUACGGAGGAUGCGUGCGUUAUCCGGCUUUGUUGGGAUUAAAGGGUGCGCAGGCGGAAUGUCAAGUCAGCGGUAAAAUUUCGGGGCUCAACCGCGUCGGGCCGUUGAAACUGGCGGUCUUGAGUGAACGAGAGGUAUGCGGAAUGCGUGGUGUAGCGGUGAAAUGCAGAGAUAUCACGCAGAACUCCGAUUGCGAAGGCAGCUUACCGGCGCGCAACUGACGCUCAUGCACGAAAGCGUGGGUAUCGAACAGGAUUAGAUACCCGAGUAGUC
rnacentral:rRNA from 1 species